CGGGGCGUAGCGCAGCCUGGUAGCGCAUUUGUCUGGGGGACAAAGGGUCGUAGGUUCAAAUCCUGCCGCUCCGACCA
rnacentral:tRNA from 3 species